rnacentral:rRNA from 1 species
AUUGAACGCUGGCGGCAGGCUUAACACAUGCAAGUCGAGCGAGCGGGCGACGGGUUAGUUAUGUCUGGGAAACUGCCUUGUGGAGGGGGAUAACUACUGGAAACGGUAGCUAAUACCGCAUACCCUCCGGUUUUCCCCGAUGGGAUUAGCUAGUAGGUGGGGGAAUGGCUCACCUAGGCGACGAUCCCUAGCUGGUCUGAGAGGAUGACCAGCCACACUGGAACUGAGACACGGUCCAGACUCCUACGGGAGGCAGCAGUGGGGAAUAUUGCACAAUGGGCGCAAGCCUGAUGCAGCCAUGCCGCGUGUGUGAAGAAGGCCUUCGGGUUGUAAAGCACUUUCAGCGAGGAGGCGUUACUCGCAGAAGAAGCACCGGCUAACUCCGUGCCAGCCGCCGCGGUAAUUC